rnacentral:lncRNA from 1 species
AGAAAACAAAUGCCUCCUAUCGAGGUCUUCCAGCUAAGAAAGCGAUAAAAUGCGGAAAAGAGGUAAAAGUACCACACGGAUAAAGAUCCGAAGUAACAGCAAUUAAAGGAGUAAGAAACCCAGGGAUCUCCCAAGCUAAUGCCAUCAAAGAAAGGUGAGUCAGUACAGGUAAUCGGAAUGAACCUCCAGAGGGUAUCCCACAAAUAAAGUGGGAAACCAC